UACGUAGGGUGCAAGCGUUAAUCGGAAUUACUGGGCGUAAAGCGUGCGCAGGCGGUCCGCUAAGACCGAUGUGAAAUCCCCGGGCUUAACCUGGGAACUGCAUUGGUGACUGGCGGGCUGGAGUAUGGCAGGAGGGGGGUAGAAUUCCACGUGUAGCAGUGAAAUGCGUAGAGAUGUGGAGGAAUACCGAUGGCGAAGGCAGCCCCCUGGGAUAACACUGACGCUCAUGCACGAAAGCGUGGGGAGCAAACAGG
rnacentral:rRNA from 1 species